rnacentral:rRNA from 1 species
UACAGGGGGGUGCAAGCGUUGUUCGGAAUUAUUGGGCGUAAAGCGCGUGUAGGCGGCUUUGCAAGUCGGGUGUGAAAGCCCUCGGCUCAACCGAGGAAGUGCGCCCGAAACUGCAGAGCUUGAGUACCGGAGAGGGUGGCGGAAUUCCCCAAGUAGAGGUGAAAUUCGUAGAUAUGGGAGGAACACCGGUGGGCGAAGGCGGCCACCUGGACGGAUACUGACGCUGAGACGCGAAAGCGUGGGGAGCAAACAGG